CGGAGGUGGGGUUGGGAAACAACUGCAGUCUUUUCCAUACUGAAUUAUCCUGUGGUUUUGUAGGGGUGGCUGAAUCUUGCCACACAACAGAGGCUCACCAAAAACACUUUCAGAAAGAGAUUAAAAAAUGAAGGAAAGGCUCAAGAAACAAGAGGAAGACAUGAGAGUUUUGCUGUCUUAAGGGAGAAUGCAUUUGAGGGAAAGGCAUCAGGAAAGGAAAACAGGUCUGUUCUUGAGAAUAUUAGUGUGGUGGGCUGACACUGGCCAGCAGCCAAGCCUCCACUCAGUCUACCACUUACACAACACAAAUCUCCAUGAGGAAGAAAAUGGGAAGAGCAAAUGUGAGUAACCUGCUGGGUCAAGAUAAAGACAGUUUAAUAAGCAAAGCCAAGCUGAUCUUGCAAGCAAAACAAGAUAAGUAGUUCCGUCACUUCUUCCCAUCAGCAUCAGAUGUCAGCCUCCCCCUGGAAAGCAAAGACUCAGCUUAGGUAAUGGUUUUUGGGGAAGACAAGCACCAUAAACCCACAAGUUCUCUCUUCAUUAUCCUUUUCUCUCUGCUUUUAUUGGUGAAUAAGACAUGGAAUAUCCUAUUGGCCA